rnacentral:lncRNA from 1 species
CCGGAACUGCCUCUGGCUGGGGUUUCCAAUCUCCAAAAUUGCUCUGACCUCUAAGCUGGAACGAGGAGAAGAACCCAGGGCCGUGCCUCCGCACAGAGCCAAGCAUGAAGAGUUCCUGAUACCUGUCAACACGGCACAUUAACAAAGCUACUAGGAAAACUGGAUUCCACAGCCAAAGAUGUCACAGAGGACACAAAAUCCUGACAGGGAGAGCCAAGAUCAAGGAGCGGUGUUCUUUAGGAAACAAUUCUACCAGAAACAACAUAAGAGUGGAAGUAAUUUAAAAUGUUCAAGAUAUGUUAAUGCACGACUGACUCCAAAUUGCCAUUUAGUAUGCUUUGUAUUUUAGCAUAUAAAAACUACCCGCAUCUACGGAAUGUUGAGCCGAAGCCCAAGACAAUCAAAGCUUCCCAUAUUCAACAUCCCAGUGUUUCCUGGUUGUGCCAAAAAAUAAACAGCCAGCAAAUGAUUGCACCUCUUAAUAAAAAGCAUUUG